UCCGGUUUGUCACCGGCAGUCUCCCUAGAGUGCCCUUGCGUAGCAACUAGGGACAAGGGUUGCGCUCGUUGCGGGACUUAACCCAACAUCUCACGACACGAGCUGACGACAGCCAUGCAGCACCUGUGUUCCGAUUCCCGAAGGCACCCCCGUAUCUCUACAGGGUUCCUGGGAUGUCAAGACCAGGUAAGGUUCUUCGCGUUGCAUCGAAUUAAACCACAUGCUCCACCGCUUGUGCGGGUCCCCGUCAAUUCCUUUGAGUUUUAAUCUUGCGACCGUACUCCCCAGGCGGUCAACUUCACGCGUUAGCUGCGGUACUGAGAAAUCGCUUCCCCAACAACCAGUUGACAUCGUUUAGGGCGUGGACUAC
rnacentral:misc_RNA from 1 species